rnacentral:rRNA from 1 species
UACGUAGGUGGCAAGCGUUGUCCGGAUUUAUUGGGUUUAAAGGGUGCGUAGGCGGCCUUAUAAGUCAGUGCUGAAAUAUCCCGGCUUAACCGGGAGGGUGGCAUUGAUACUGUAGGGCUUGAGUGUAGUCGAGGUAGGCGGAAUUGACGGUGUAGCGGUGAAAUGCUUAGAUAUCUGGAGGAACACCAGUGGCGAAAGCGGCCACCUGGACUGUACCUGACGCUCAAACGCGAAAGCUAGGGGAGCGAACGGG